ACAAGAAUCUACAGGUCGAGCAAGUCUCGUAAAUUUCACGAUUGCGAGCCACGCUUCACGCAACCGUGUUUGCGUACUUGUGUUUCGAGUUGCGUGGUCGUGCGGAGUUAUAUUUACCAAAUUUAAAUAUAAUCGUUUUCAAAAUUAAAUCAAUAUGGCUACUGGGUGUAAAAGAUAAAUCUUAUUCUAUCUGUUCUUAAUGAGUUUUAGAUAAUUUUAGUUGUAUUUCUUUGUAAUUUUGUGUUGUACAAAGAUUAAUUUAACAUUUUCUCUGGAAGUAUUAAUUUAGAAAGAUAAUAAAUAUGCUUCAUUGGUGUUGUGUUUUGAAGUGUGAAAUGCAAAGUAAUUGUGAUAAAGUCAAGAUAAAGUUCACUUUUAAACUGAACUAAAUAAGGUAUCUGAGAGAUAACAAUGGUUAAAUGCAAUACAAUGUACAGGUUUUACUAGCGAAAUGAAAAUUUUCCUGUCCUGUCUGCUGUAAUCAUUUUAUAUCUGGAAAACCAGCCGACUUAAUCGAUAAUAACAAUCUCCAGAUUGGGUUCCUUCAAUAAAUAUGGUCUAUAAACACAAUGAAAUAAGUUCCCCAAAAUCUAAAAUGGAGUGGUAUCAAAGGAGAAUUAAAGGGAAAAAUAUUCAUAUUGAAAUUAUUUAUAAGGCACUGGACUGUCUUAAAUUCUACAAUAAUACUAGAAUCAGCUGAGAGAAGUGGUCUACAAAAAACCAGGAAGGAAACGGAAUAUGUGGCUACGAAAGGCAAAAGAAAGGUUUACAAAGCAAAUGUGACACAUUUUUUUGAAAUAUUUAGGAAUAUCAGUAAAUUGCACUAAAAAAAUGUAUGAAAAGAUUUUGUUCAAUAAAAAUGUUUAUAUUUA